GAUAGAUUCUUUUAAUAUUCUGAUACUAGGAGCUCUUUUUUUCCAAAUGAGUGGCAAAUGAUUCCUGUAGAAUUUUCAAUCUUUUCAGGAUAUUAAUGAAUGAGAAUAGCAAAGGCCCUGGCAACCAGAAAUCUGCAAACAAGAGGCAUCUUCAUCCUACAUUUAUUGAAUAUUGUCUACCCAGUUCCUAUCCAAUGCCUUUCAGAAGAGUAUAAUGACAUAAUUUAGGAG
rnacentral:lncRNA from 1 species